rnacentral:lncRNA from 1 species
CAAUCACAUUUAUAUAUAUUCUUCUUUGAUGCUAAUGAUUCACUUCAAAAUCAAUUCACUGAUGUGUAAGUAAUACGUACCUGAACAUCUUAAAUGUCUAGCACUUACUCAACGAUGGUUUACUGCGGACAUUCAAUAUCGUAAUCUUACUUAAUUUAUUGGCAUUAAACCUGUCAGGUCUUAGAACUUGAAACCAAUUACCAGCACAAGCCUGCGGGAAUUUAAACCCGGUAUAAUACCAGCUCGAAGCCCGCGGGACUUUAGCCCGGACAUAUUUCUAGCACGUAGCCUACGGACCUUAAGUCCGGAUAUAAUUCCAGCACAUAGCCUGCGGACCUUAAGUCCGGAUAUAAUUCCAGCACAUAGCCUGCGAACCUUUAAGCCCGGAUAUAUGUCAAAUAUCAUACAUAUAUAAUCAUAUAUUAACACAUCUCAUUCAACAUAUCACAUUAGUAGUCAUUUGCUACAUUCGGAUAUAAGCUCCAUAUGAACACCAUCAUUCAUAUUUCGGUUCAAAAGUCAUACAUAAAUAUCACAUAUCCAUU